rnacentral:rRNA from 1 species
AACGAACGCUGGCGGCAGGCCUAACACAUGCAAGUCGAGCGAGGACUUCGGUCCUAGCGGCGGACGGGUGAGUAACGCGUGGGAACGUGCCCUUUGCUUCGGAAUAGCCCUGGGAAACUGGGAGUAAUACCGGAUGAGCCCUUUGGGGGAAAGAUUUAUCGGCGAAGGAUCGGCCCGCGUUGGAUUAGGUAGUUGGUGGGGUAAUGGCCUACCAAGCCGACGAUCCAUAGCUGGUUUGAGAGGAUGAUCAGCCACACUGGGACUGAGACACGGCCCAGACUCCUACGGGAGGCAGCAGUGGGGAAUCUUAGACAAUGGGGGAAACCCUGAUCUAGCCAUGCCGCGGGAGCGAUGAAGGCCUUAGGGUUGUAAAGCUCUUUCAGCUGGGAAGAUAAUGACGGUACCAGCAGAAGAAGCCCCGGCUAACUCCGU